rnacentral:misc_RNA from 1 species
AUUUGGGAGGUUUUGGGAGGGUAGUUUUGGAAGAGAGUGGAUCAACUACAGGAACAGGAAAAUCUAAGGGAGGACCUUUAUACUCAACGGCGAUGGAGUAGUCUAGUUGUUCAUCGUCUGGCAACGGAGCUCCUGCCGGCAACAUUCUCCGCAGAAGAUCUUGCCAGGCGUCGGAAUCGGAGUCAGCGUAUGGCUCAGUCAUUUGGGAAUUUCAGUAGGUAGAAGAAGG